UCACUUAUGGCCUCUGUUGCUUUACAGACUUGGGAGAAGAUGGCAAGAAUAGUUAAAAGAAGGGAAUUUCAGGCAAGAGCAGUGAACUUUUUCAUGAUUUGCUGAAUCAUCGUAUUUUCAGUUCUGUCCUGACACAGCAAUAUUCUGAGGCUGAUUAUCAUUACAGCUACUGCUGAAUGACUUUGGAAAUGAAAAAGUGACUAAUACUCAGAUUCAAGAUUGCCAGCUAAAGAAAGCUCAAUUAUCUCUACCUCUCUGACAGAAGCCAUUUUAAACUGAUCAGUGUGAAUGCCGACAUCCAAAUGUACUCAUUUAAAACAUCUACUUGUUCAUCCUAAAACUAUAUUUAAACUUUUUGUUUUGUGUAUUAUACUAGUAGUUCUAGUGAUCUUACAGAUUUUUGUUUGUUUGUUUAUUUACUUUUUUGCUCCUCAGCUGUAUGUGUAUUAAAUAUCUGGAAUUGUCAGACAAAAUUUUCCGAUUAAAUUCAAUGCAAAGACUAAGCAAGUAGGAUCACAAUUUAGUGUUUUUAUCUCUAAAACAAAGAAACUUUCUCCUCUGUAAAUAUGUAAGUAUAAUGAUUCAUAUGGGAAUGACAUCCAUUAUCUUAGUCAACAUUUCAUAUAGACAGAAGAACAAAAUUAUUAUCAAGGCUAAUUGCUUUUUAUUUAAAGAGAUACACCUAAAUAUUUAUAUCAGUACUUACCUCCUGAUUCUCUGCUGUUGUUUUAUAAAUGUAUGUAGUUAUGAAAACAACAAAUAAAGCUGUUUUCUAGAAUAUAUACAAUCA